rnacentral:rRNA from 1 species
UAGAGGAAGUAAAAGUCGUAACAAGGUCUCCGUAGGUGAACCUGCGGAGGGAUCAUUACACAAUAAAAUACGAAGGCCGUAUACGGCUCACGAUAUAUUACCCUUGUCUUUUGCGCACUUGUUGUUUCCUGGGCGGGUUCGCUCGCCACCAGGACCACAAUAUAAACCUUUUUUGUGCAGUUGCAAUCAGCGUCAGUACAACAAAUGUAAAUCAUUUACAACUUUCAACAACGGAUCUCUUGGUUCUGGCAUCGAUGAAGAACGCAGCGAAAUGCGAUACGUAGUGUGAAUUGCAGAAUUCAGUGAAUCAUCGAAUCUUUGAACGCACAUUGCGCCCUUUGGUAUUCCAAAGGGCAUGCCUGUUCGAGCGUCAUUUGUACCCUCAAGCUUUGCUUGGUGUUGGGCGUUUUUUGUCCCCCCCAAAAAGGGGACUCGCCUUAAAAGGAUUGGCAGCCGGCCUACUGGUUUCGCAGCGCAGCACAUUUUUGCGCUUGCAAUCAGCAAAAGAGGACGGCAAUCCAUCAAGACUCCUUCUCUCGUUUGACCUCGGAUCAGGUAGGGAUACCCGCUGAACUUAAGCAUAUCAAUAA